UACGAAGGGGGCUAGCGUUGUUCGGAAUUACUGGGCGUAAAGCGCGUGUAGGCGGGUCUUUAAGUCAGGGGUGAAAUGCCAGGGCUCAACCUUGGAACUGCCUUUGAUACUGGAGACCUUGAGUCCGGGAGAGGUGAGUGGAAUUGCGAGUGUAGAGGUGAAAUUCGUAGAUAUCGGGAGGAACACCUGUGGCGAAAGCGGCUCACUGGACCAUUACUGACGCUGAUGCUCGAAAGCUAGGGGAGCAAACAGGG
rnacentral:rRNA from 1 species